rnacentral:rRNA from 1 species
GAGUAACGCUGGGGAAUCUGCCUUUGAGCGGGGGACAACAUUUGGAAACGAAUGCUAAUACCGCAUAAAAACUUUAAACACAAGUUUUAAGUUUGAAAGAUGCAAUUGCAUCACUCAAAGAUGAUCCCGCGUUGUAUUAGCUAGUUGGUGAGGUAAAGGCUCACCAAGGCGAUGAUACAUAGCCGACCUGAGAGGGUGAUCGGCCACAUUGGGACUGAGACACGGCCCAAACUCCUACGGGAGGCAGCAUG